CCUACGGGUGGCAGCAGUGAGGAAUAUUGGUCAAUGGGCGCGAGCCUGAACCAGCCAAGUCGCGUGAAGGAUGACUGCCCUAAGGGUUGUAAACUUCUUUUAUAGAGGAAUAAAGUGAGGCACGUGUGCCUUUUUGUAUGUACUUUAUGAAUAAGGAUCGGCUAACUCCGUGCCAGCAGCCGCGGUAAUACGGAGGAUCCGAGCGUUAUCCGGAUUUAUUGGGUUUAAAGGGAGCGUAGAUGGGUUGUUAAGUCAGUUGUGAAAGUUCGCGGCUCAACCGUGAAAUUGCAAUUGAUACUGGCAGCCUUGAGUGCAGUUGAGGUAGGCGGAAUUCGUGGUGUAGCGGUGAAAUGCAUAGAUAUCACGAAGAACUCCGAUUGCGAAGGCAGCCUACUAAGCUGCCACUGACGUUGAUGCACGAAAGUGUGGGUAUCAAACAGGAUUAGAUACCCGGGUAGUC
rnacentral:rRNA from 1 species